rnacentral:rRNA from 1 species
GACGAACGCUGGCGGCGUGCCUAAUACAUGCAAGUUGAGCGCUGAAGGUUGGUACUUGUACCAACUGGAUGAGCAGCGAACGGGUGAGUAACGCGUGGGGAAUCUGCCUUUGAGCGGGGGACAACAUUUGGAAACGAAUGCUAAUACCGCAUAAAAACUUUAAACACAAGUUUUAAGUUUGAAAGAUGCAAUUGCAUCACUCAAAGAUGAUCCCGCGUUGUAUUAGCUAGUUGGUGAGGUAAAGGCCCACCAAGGCGAUGAUACAUAGCCGACCUGAGAGGGUGAUCGGCCACAUUGGGACUGAGACACGGCCCAAACUCCUACGGGAGGCAGCAGUAGGGAAUCUUCGGCAAUGGACGAAAGUCUGACCGAGCAACGCCGCGUGAGUGAAGAAGGUUUUCGGAUCGUAAAACUCUGUUGGUAGAGAAGAACGUUGGUGAGAGUGGAAAGCUCAUCAAGUGACGGUAACUACCCAGAAAGGGACGGCUAGCUACGUG